UUAAGCGACUAAGCGUACACGGUGGAUGCCCUGGCAGUCAGAGGCGAUGAAGGACGUGCUAAUCUGCGAUAAGCGUCGGUAAGGUGAUAUGAACCGUUAUAACCGGCGAUUUCCGAAUGGGGAAACCCAGUGUGUUUCGACACACUAUCAUUAACUGAAUCCAUAGGUUAAUGAGGCGAACCGGGGGAACUGAAACAUCUAAGUACCCCGAGGAAAAGAAAUCAACCGAGAUUCCCCCAGUAGCGGCGAGCGAACGGGGAGCAGCCCAGAGCCUGAAUCAGUGUGUGUGUUAGUGGAAGCGUCUGGAAAGGCGCGCGAUACAGGGUGACAGCCCCGUACACAAAAAUGCACAUGCUGUGAGCUCGAUGAGUAGGGCGGGACACGUGGUAUCCUGUCUGAAUAUGGGGGGACCAUCCUCCAAGGCUAAAUACUCCUGACUGACCGAUAGUGAACCAGUACCGUGAGGGAAAGGCGAAAAGAACCCCGGCGAGGGGAGUGAAAAAGAACCUGAAACCGUGUACGUACAAGCAGUGGGAGCACGCUUCGGCGUGUGACUGCGUACCUUUUGUAUAAUGGGUCAGCGACUUAUAUUCUGUAGCAAGGUUAACCGAAUAGGGGAGCCGAAGGGAAACCGAGUCUUAACUGGGCGUUAAGUUGCAGGGUAUAGACCCGAAACCCGGUGAUCUAGCCAUGGGCAGGUUGAAGGUUGGGUAACACUAACUGGAGGACCGAACCGACUAAUGUUGAAAAAUUAGCGGAUGACUUGUGGCUGGGGGUGAAAGGCCAAUCAAACCGGGAGAUAGCUGGUUCUCCCCGAAAGCUAUUUAGGUAGCGCCUCGUGAAUUCAUCUCCGGGGGUAGAGCACUGUUUCGGCAAGGGGGUCAUCCCGACUUACCAACCCGAUGCAAACUGCGAAUACCGGAGAAUGUUAUCACGGGAGACACACGGCGGGUGCUAACGUCCGUCGUGAAGAGGGAAACAACCCAGACCGCCAGCUAAGGUCCCAAAGUCAUGGUUAAGUGGGAAACGAUGUGGGAAGGCCCAGACAGCCAGGAUGUUGGCUUAGAAGCAGCCAUCAUUUAAAGAAAGCGUAAUAGCUCACUGGUCGAGUCGGCCUGCGCGGAAGAUGUAACGGGGCUAAACCAUGCACCGAAGCUGCGGCAGCGACGCUGAUGCGUUGUUGGGUAGGGGAGCGUUCUGUAAGCCUGCGAAGGUGUGCUGUGAGGCAUGCUGGAGGUAUCAGAAGUGCGAAUGCUGACAUAAGUAACGAUAAAGCGGGUGAAAAGCCCGCUCGCCGGAAGACCAAGGGUUCCUGUCCAACGUUAAUCGGGGCAGGGUGAGUCGACCCCUAAGGCGAGGCCGAAAGGCGUAGUCGAUGGGAAACAGGUUAAUAUUCCUGUACUUGGUGUUACUGCGAAGGGGGGACGGAGAAGGCUAUGUUGGCCGGGCGACGGUUGUCCCGGUUUAAGCGUGUAGGCUGGUUUUCCAGGCAAAUCCGGAAAAUCAAGGCUGAGGCGUGAUGACGAGGCACUACGGUGCUGAAGCAACAAAUGCCCUGCUUCCAGGAAAAGCCUCUAAGCAUCAGGUAACAUCAAAUCGUACCCCAAACCGACACAGGUGGUCAGGUAGAGAAUACCAAGGCGCUUGAGAGAACUCGGGUGAAGGAACUAGGCAAAAUGGUGCCGUAACUUCGGGAGAAGGCACGCUGAUAUGUAGGUGAAGUCCCUCGCGGAUGGAGCUGAAAUCAGUCGAAGAUACCAGCUGGCUGCAACUGUUUAUUAAAAACACAGCACUGUGCAAACACGAAAGUGGACGUAUACGGUGUGACGCCUGCCCGGUGCCGGAAGGUUAAUUGAUGGGGUCAGCGCAAGCGAAGCUCUUGAUCGAAGCCCCGGUAAACGGCGGCCGUAACUAUAACGGUCCUAAGGUAGCGAAAUUCCUUGUCGGGUAAGUUCCGACCUGCACGAAUGGCGUAAUGAUGGCCAGGCUGUCUCCACCCGAGACUCAGUGAAAUUGAACUCGCUGUGAAGAUGCAGUGUACCCGCGGCAAGACGGAAAGACCCCGUGAACCUUUACUAUAGCUUGACACUGAACAUUGAGCCUUGAUGUGUAGGAUAGGUGGGAGGCUUGGAAGUGUGGACGCCAGUCUGCAUGGAGCCGACCUUGAAAUACCACCCUUUAAUGUUUGAUGUUCUAACGUUGACCCGUAAUCCGGGUUGCGGACAGUGUCUGGUGGGUAGUUUGACUGGGGCGGUCUCCUCCUAAAGAGUAACGGAGGAGCACGAAGGUUGGCUAAUCCUGGUCGGACAUCAGGAGGUUAGUGCAAUGGCAUAAGCCAGCUUGACUGCGAGCGUGACGGCGCGAGCAGGUGCGAAAGCAGGUCAUAGUGAUCCGGUGGUUCUGAAUGGAAGGGCCAUCGCUCAACGGAUAAAAGGUACUCCGGGGAUAACAGGCUGAUACCGCCCAAGAGUUCAUAUCGACGGCGGUGUUUGGCACCUCGAUGUCGGCUCAUCACAUCCUGGGGCUGAAGUAGGUCCCAAGGGUAUGGCUGUUCGCCAUUUAAAGUGGUACGCGAGCUGGGUUUAGAACGUCGUGAGACAGUUCGGUCCCUAUCUGCCGUGGGCGCUGGAGAACUGAGGGGGGCUGCUCCUAGUACGAGAGGACCGGAGUGGACGCAUCACUGGUGUUCGGGUUGUCAUGCCAAUGGCACUGCCCGGUAGCUAAAUGCGGAAGAGAUAAGUGCUGAAAGCAUCUAAGCACGAAACUUGCCCCGAGAUGAGUUCUCCCUGACUCCUUGAGAGUCCUGAAGGAACGUUGAAGACGACGACGUUGAUAGGCCGGGUGUGUAAGCGCAGCGAUGCGUUGAGCUAACCGGUACUAAUGAACCGUGAGGCUUAACCUU
rnacentral:rRNA from 1 species